CCCGUAUUAAACUUUGGUUUAUUAGUGAAUUAAGGCGGAUUUAUUUAUUUAUUUAUUUAUUUAUCUAUUUUCGGUACGCGAAAAUUAAAAAUGAUAAUCAAAACCCCACGUUCAUUGUGCGAUGGUUGGCAUUGUUAUAAACCGAGAUUCGGUUAGCAUAUUUGAAUGACGGGUGGGUCUUUCGACAGCACGUGUCUAUGUAUAGAGGGUGUUAACCACAACACAGGAAAUAGGUAGGUCCCAACUCCCAUGGACGGAGACACGGACUGUACACAUGAUACAGGGGGAUGUGGAUCUGGAAUAAUUCCGUAUUGAUUCUAAUAUUUCAUGUUUAUUUAACAGUAGCGUAUAUGAGUCUGUUCGAGUGUACAUUGUCUCUCUCGCUGGACUAUUUUUGCACACAGUUAUCGCUUAAUCUCGUGAUUGCUUAAACUCUGUACUACAAAAUUUACAUAUUUGCUUUUAAAAUUAUCGGGAGAUUGGCAACAGCGGCCGAAAUUUCGCACAGAUGCGCCACUGUUAAAAAUUAUCUCUAUAAAUAUAUUAAUAUAUAUAUAAAUGUUUGAUACCAGUACAGCAACUUUUUCCCACUUACAAAUAUUUUUAAUGCAACGAAAUUACAUCCGGAGGGUUAAAAGGUCGUUGGCAGAAGGGGUCAGUCUCGACUCGGACCAUUUUUCUCUUCUCUCUCUCCCCUCUCUCUCUUCUUUCCUCAUUAACCACUAAAGUCCAGAAACUCGUUUCGGAAAAAAGGGGGGAUUUAUUUUUAAAAGCAAACGACAAAUUUAGCUUAGUAAAUGGGGAAAAGUGGGACGACGGGUCACUCACCCUCCCCAUUUUCUUCCCCCAUUCUGUUCGACUGCAUUCAGCGAACUUUGACCUGGAAUCGUUUACCGAGUUGUAUACACGGUGUAAUUGAACUGCCGAAUUUUUAUUGAUUAUUUUCACACCAAGCAUUGUGCAGCACACCGACAACAAAAAACGGAAUGCAAAGUACGCACACAAUAAAGGAAGGAAACGUUUGCACACACACACACACACAACGCAGCCUACACCUUUCCUCGUGCUGCAGGCCGCUCGUGUGUGUGUUGUGUUUCCAGCACACAAAUUCCGUGUUUUACGUAACAAACCCAGUAUGCAUCUUAAAAUUGUCCACGUUUCGAUUUAGGACAACCAGAAAAAAAAAGCGAAGAAACUAUUUUACGUUUGUAGUUCGGUGUGCAAAGAUGAAUCACCUAGGAUAAAUACUUUUGUCGUUUUCAAUGUAAACAGUGUGUGUGUGUAUGUUGUAUAGGUCGUGCGUAUGCGCGCGUAUACGUCGAACAAAAAAAAAAAAAAAGAACCUGAAAUAUCUGGCGUAAUCAACAAAAGAGAAAGUUGUUUUUCUUUUAUUACGCAUAGAUCGUAAGCCGGGUUCAAGACCUUGUAGACUACUUGGCAAGUUGAAUGACCGACCCACUGACCCAAAUGUCGACGUCACAGGUCAUAUGAUUUCGGAUAGAAAUCUUGACGCAUGCUCGAGCUGCGUUAUUUAGAUAGCGAGUGGGUUGUGCAGGAAGAUAACGCUACCGGGAUUUCUGAUGACGAUAAUAAUAAUAAUAAUAAUAAAUAACCGAUUAUCGCAUGGUCGCGUUA
rnacentral:lncRNA from 1 species